rnacentral:lncRNA from 1 species
GUUCCCCACAGUCAGAGGAACCCAAAUUUGCCCGGCCAGGGAGGAGGAGGAGGAGGGAAGGCAGGCGCAGAGCCCCCGCCGAGCUGGCGUAGCAUGUGUUAGCGAAGGGGAGGAAGGAAACAAGCAGAGGUUGGGAGCAAGCAAUGAAACCUUAACCACCGCCUAACUUCAGAUAACCCUAUUUUGGCGAUUUAGUUAUAUAUUUUGGGAGCUUUAAGUUCUGGGAGAGUCAGAGGUUUUAUUUUUAGUAUUUAAUACGCAUGUAGGGCAGCGCAGCUGUACGAUUUGGGAACCGAGAGUGGAGAAGCUGGAAGAGCUGCCAGCUGUGUGACAGGCCAGCUUAGCCCUCCAUCUCCAGGCCCAGCUUUCAGAGAAGGUGCUCUCCUGGGAGAUAAACCAGUGUUAAGGAGCUGGUGGAGAGAAGACAAGCACUAAAAGUUAUAAUUGUGAGUAAAUAACAAAGGAGAAGGUAUGGGCUGAAUUUUAAAAUAACAGCCUAGUCCAGAUUACCUUCUCUUGGCUUUUAUAUUAAGGUUUCUAACUUAACACAGUUCAGUUUCUAGAAAAGUUGUUAUACUAAGGAAGCAAAUUGAGAUUGAGUAUUCUGAACAUCCUGCCGAUCUCCUUGGUUUCUGAGGGCGGCGUAAAGUGCUGCUGAUAAGAAACAAACAGUGUAGUUCUUCAAAAAUGAUAUCUUUAAAAGAAAUGACCUAGAGCGAGCACGGUUAGUUCUGGACCUUUCUCUUCCUCCUCCCCCAUGUCAAUAAAUUAUUUUAGGGUGAAGUAGGAAAAAAGAAGGUUUGGGCAUCGGAAUUGUUUGAGAGAUCUCUUGGGUGGCUUCUGGCAAGUCUACCAGCUUUAAUAUUGAACUCUGAUACCUGAAUUUGGAAGUUAGACUUCCCUGAUAUAAGAGCCAUAUGUGGAAACUCUUUGUAGGCGCUUAAGCAGUUGUGUUGGGUAGCUUAUUUAAAAAGUCAAGGAAAAAAGGGGAUAGAAGACUUCUUAAAAAUUCUUGUUUGGCCACUGUGUUCAAAUCGCUGCACCGGAACGGAUAUAAACAAGACGAGAAGAGCUUCUCACUAAGAUGCUGGUUUAGAUGCUGUAGUGUGAAAACCAGCUUGGUUGCAGCCAAGGAGUGGAAAGGUGUCUGCCGUAGCCAGGAGGGUGUGUUGAGAAUAACCUGGUUUUUAACGUGAUGUUCAGCUUUCAGAAGCUCCCAUCAGCUAAGCGGGGUCAUGGCAUGCUACAAUCCUGUAGCAGCCGCUCCUCAGCGACGUCCUCUUCCCCCUCGGUGCUGAAUACAAGGGUGUGAGUAUGUUUUUUUUCAAAGUUGCUUUUUACCUUGGGUUGGGUUGGCUUUAAUWUU